rnacentral:snRNA from 1 species
AUCGGUUCUCUGCCUUUUGGCUAAGAUCAAGUGUAGUAUCUGUUCUUAUCAGUUUAAUAUCUGAUACGUCCUCUAUCCAAGGAUAAUAUAUUAAAUGGAUUUUUGGAAUAGGGAGUUGGAAUAGGGGCUUGCUCCGUCCACUCCAUGCAUCGACCUGGUAUUGCAGUACCUCCAGGAAUGGUGCACCAAAA